UACGAAGGGGGCUAGCGUUGUUCGGAAUUACUGGGCGUAAAGGGCGCGUAGGCGGUGUGUCAAGUCAGGCGUGAAAGCCCCGGGCUCAACCUGGGAACCGCGCUUGAGACUGGCACGCUCGAGUUCGGGAGAGGAUGGUGGAUUUCCCAGUGUAGAGGUGAAAUUCGUAGAUAUUGGGAAGAACACCGAUGGCGAAGGCAGCCAUCUGGACCGACACUGACGCUGAGGCGCGAAAGCGUGGGGAGCAAACAGG
rnacentral:rRNA from 1 species